rnacentral:rRNA from 1 species
AGUGAACGCUGGCGGUAGGCCUAACACAUGCAAGUCGAACGGCAGCACAGUAAGAGCUUGCUCUUACGGGUGGCGAGUGGCGGACGGGUGAGGAAUACAUCGGAAUCUACUUUUUCGUGGGGGAUAACGUAGGGAAACUUACGCUAAUACCGCAUACGACCUACGGGUGAAAGCAGGGGGUCUUCGGACCUUGCGCGAUUGAAUGAGCCGAUGUCGGAUUAGCUAGUUGGCGGGGUAAAGGCCGACCAAGGCGACGAUCCGUAGCUGGUCUGAGAGGAUGAUCAGCCACACUGGAACUGAGACACGGUCCAGACUCCUACGGGAGGCAGCAGUGGGGAAUAUUGGACAAAGGGCGCAAGCCUGAUCCAGCCAUACCGCGUGGGUGAAGAAGGCCUUCGGGUUGUAAAGCCCUUUUGUUGGGAAAGAAAAGCAGCAGGUUAAUACCCCGCUGUUCUGACGGUACCCAAAGAAUAAGCACCGGCUAACUUCGUG